UUUCAAGCUCUGCUAUUUUUAUUAAUAAAUUUCUAAGUAAAAAAAAAAUAAAAAACAGAAAAAUAGAUAAGCAUAGAUUAUUUAGUGAAGAAUUGAAAUUGGCUUUCACAAUUAAUAACAAAACAUUAUAUUGAACGUAGUGUUUGAAGUUGUGAGCAUGUUUUCGAACGAAAACUAAUCACGAUCCAGCCCGCCUUAAAAUUGUAUUAUUAUUUACCAUAUACAUGGUAAAAUUUUCCAAUUAUUUUGACUCUUUUUGAUCUAUAUUUUAAAUUAUGUCCAUGAGACAUUUGUAAAAUGUCUUGAAUUAUUUUUCAGUUAGAAAUUUUUUUGAGGUACCCACUUUCCACGUUUCUAACUACAAUUAUAUUGAUACGCGAUUACUAAAAAUGUAUAUUUAUCAAAAAAAUACACAGAAUUGUAUGACAAAGAUUCCGAAAAACCGGUUACUAUUUUCUGUGAGAAAUAUAUGAAGAAUUCAGAGAAAGAGUUUAUUAAGACUUUGUUUGCAUCAUUUGCAUAAAUAUUUUGUUUACUUGUUUGAAGAUAAAUAUUAAUUAAACUAUAAUAAUACAAUUACAUAUUUAAUUAUAUUAUAUUAUAUAUCGAAUUAUAAAUACUCUUAUAAUAUAAACAUAACUACAGUAUAUUAUAUACUCUAAUAAUUCAUAUUAUAAUAAAUUCGAUGUUUUCGACAAAAAAAAUAAUCCAACCAAUACCGUAUGUUACUAAUAGUAGAUAGUAUAAAUUAUAAAUUAAUAAUAUAUUUUAUAUUGUAAUACUAAUAUAUACUUAAUAAUAAAGGUUUGUCUAUAUCA